UGUCUUGUUCAUGUUCAAUUCACCAAAGUUCUCAGCACAAUGCCAUACAUACAAUUCUUCAGUAACUCAGUGAAUAUUUUUCAAAUAAAGAGCAAUGCUAUUGUUUGGAUUAUCCGCUUUGAGAAGCACCUGCCCCAACACUGGAGCUGAGAAGACAGCAGAGGCUCACCACAGCCAUCUUUACUUUUCAUCAUUGUUAAAAUAGGAAACACUAACAGGAAGAUUGCCCCAGGGAAGGUACACAGGAAAAAAGACUCAAGAGGUCGUCUUCCCCAGGAGCUGAAAACUUGCCAGGCUAGUACCACCCAGGACUUAUUAGUGAGGCAUCUUGUAUCAUCAAAUAUUUAUAUUGAAAGGAGUUAAUGAUGUAAUUCAGAAGUUUUUUGAGAUCUUUCUCUCUCCAUAGAUACGUGUGUGUGUGUGUGUAUGAAAGUCCAACUCUGUCACUCUGAUUGCACUGGGCUCCUAACCAUUUUCUUGAGGUAUUGCAGUGCUAGAAAGAUUCAGAAAUAUUUCUGGAUUGACCUAGAGAUGCCAGGCUUUUUUCAUACUGUCUUUACGUCAUGUGUUAUGAAUAAAGCAAAGUUUCUGCUCAGAGACAGGAUUUAAAAAGCUUGUCCAACAAAACCAGAGUUGCCAAAAAACGAAAGGGAAGGUGCAGAUUUGAUACAAAAUAUUCUAUUCUGCCCUAAAAACCUAUCUUAGAACUAUUUUGAAGUGUCAUUUUUUUCCUGAGCUUUCGUUUCAAUAUUACCAUGCUUUCAUCCCAUGCUGUGGAAGGAUAUUUUUAUUCCACUACAGAAUACAGAGCCCUCCUUUGCUCAGAUGGAAGAAAGGACUCCAUCAUACUUUUCAGCUGAAUAUCCUAAGUGUGAGAAAAAAUGAAUUACCCACUUCUCUGAAUUUUGGUGAGAAUAGGGCUUGGAUAAUGCACAAAUUUUCCAGAACUCUAAUAGGUCUGGGAGGAGAGAAAAAAAAAUCAUUGGGUAUAAAUCAAGAGACACUUGAUUUUUCUGCCUAACAACCACCCCCUGCUCCCCUACCCUGCCCCAAAUCUCAGUGACUUAAAAUCUGUGCAAGUCAGAGAUUUCAGGCACUUCUCCUCCAUGUGGGGACUCAUGAGUUGCACUUCAAUAUCAAAUGCACUUCCACAGUUGCCACUUUAGAGAAAGAGAGGGGUGGGGGAGAGGAGCAGGAGAGAGAUUAGAAAGACAGAACCAGAUGGAGUACUAGCAAUGAAGAAAUGACACACAUCACUUCUACUCUCUACAGUCAUGCAGCCCUGCCUAACUUGAAGGAGAUGUGAAGGUAAGACUUGCCCUGUAUUCAAAAGAGAAGAACUGGAUACUAGCAAAUGCCUGUAAUGUCUGCCACAUGCUGCUAUUCCCAGCCUGCUGGCAAUUGUUUCCUUCUUCCCAGCUCACUCCUUCUAUGUACUUUUCCUUUGGAUUACCUGGCAUAUAUCAAAGAUCUAAAGGGUAGUGUGAAGGAAGGAAGGUGACAUAUUCUACAGUCCAUUUUUGUUUACAGGACCUUUUUGAAAAUGAGGAGUAUCCAAAAAGGACCAGUUAACUCUGUGUUCUUUUUCCUUAAUACUAUAUUAGGCACUAAUAGCUCUGGGAAAAGAUAGUGUGUUAAAGGGAGCCAUGGCCUGGUUUCAGUAAUAUACUUAAGAUGAAACGACUCGCUUUGAGUUGCCCAGGACCAGCGUGCUUUGUGUGAAAGGCCUCUGGCUCCCACUCCCAUUCCUCCUCCUCUUACCAAACAUGAUUCAAAUUCCCUCUAAGCUUUGUGACUUUUCCAGAAAGCAGUUCUCCCUACAGCAGAGAGAAAGAGAGAGGGAAAAAAGUAAAAACUUUCCCUUAUUAUUCUUCCAAUAAUGAGUUCCUGCUCUGAGUACACUGCCUCCAUGUGUUUUCAGUCAAGUGCUGAUGGCAGCUUUGCUGGGGGACAUUUCCAAGAGGUUGUGGACUUAAUAGAUGAGGUCUUGUAUUGACAAGAACUGCUCUUGGUUUUCCUUCCAGUUUAGCCCUCCUGAGCCCUGAAAUCAGAGAUGAGAAAUGAUUCAUGAGGUCAUGUUGGUCAGUGUGCCUCUCAUACCUCUUUUCUCCCUUUAGUUAAAAAAAAAAAAUUGUUUAAAAGCCUUUCUUUAGAGAGAUUUGUGAAUCUAGAUUUUAGUAACCUGAAUGGGACUUUCUAAGAUCAAACCCAUUUUUUUGUAAAUGCCAAGAGUUCCUUUCUUCAGGACCUAAGCAUAGUCUUGGCCUACUAUGACAUCCUAAGAACAAAGAGAGAAAUUAGGUCACACCAUUUCCUGCCUAAACUCUAAUCUUAAGUACACACACAGUUUCCAGGUUAGCUUUGGUGGUCUGCCAUGUUUGCCAAGAGAGCCUACUCAUUCUCUCCAAAGCAACCUGCCUACAUGAAGCUUGUACGAUGUUUCCUUUUCAUUAGGAAAAAAGGAGUCUCAAUUACCUCAGGUAAAAGGGGACAUGUGUUUUUAAGGAUAUAAAUGGGGAGCCAGCCCUAGGGGAUUUAUUAUCCUGGUUUUUCUGCUUUUCUCUGCAUGUCUACCUGAGGCCACCUUCCCUUCCGACAAACUUGUCCUGCAUAGUGUAGUUCUGGUUACUGAAAAUGUCAUGUAUGGGAAAAAAAAAAGUAAUAUAUGGCUCAUACUGGUGUCCCUAGCUCCUUAGACUACACCUCAGCCUUUUAGCUCAGCCUCCAUUGUCUUUUUAUCUUGGUUAAAAUUUCUAAGAGAGACCUGAUUGGUUCAGGUUUGUCCUAUUGUUUUGAUGCACACAGCAUCAUUGGUCACUAGCCAGUCAUUCAGUUGUUCAGUCAUUCCGUUGACUAGGGACAUCAUUGAAAACAUAGGUGCCUAAGCAGCGUGUGUAGGGAAGGCUGCUUCCAUGGAGGGGCUAGGAGAAGGCGGGAUGAUGAUGGGCCCUCAUGCACUCUGUGUCCUCUGACCAGAUUGCUGCAAGGAUCCUUAUUCUCUUGCCUGCUUCCUCCUCCCCAUCCCAUCUAUCAUUGUAGACCUGGCCUUCCCACAUCCUGUCACAGCCUGGGCAUCUCCCAUCACUUCUCCCUCCCCCAAGCCCUGAUGCCAGUAUUCUACUCCUUCCCUGUGGAAGUGCCCAGUCUCACAAGUAUAGGACUGCUGAGUGGUCAGGAAGAACUCCUGAGAUCUAUUUAGGCAUAUGAGGAAGAUUGGGGAAGGUAUUGAAUGGAAGGAGAAAUGGAAACAAACCCCUUUCAGCUAAGGAAAAUCCAGUUCCCACCAGGAGACUGUGCUUUUCCUCCUCCUUCUCCUUCUCCUCCUCCUGAUCCUUGGAACAAUUUUGUUUUCCCUGAAACUAUACAUCAGCAGAAAACAAACUUCCAUCGAAGAACCCUGACUGAGCACUACAGAAGAUGUUCUGUCUUCACUCAUCUUCCAACCUCCUCUUGCCCCAGAUUCUUAACGAGUCCUAAACAAUUCACUUUCAAAUUAAGGUUCAGAACACAAGAGAAGGAGUAAGUUUGGAUAAAGUUUUGCAAACUGUGCUCUCCCAACAUGCCCAAAGCUCUUCAUUUGAAGUUUUUCUCAGAUCUUCAUAUUUUUGGAAGACCAAUCACAUGUGAUGUUGCCCUAUUCCAACUGAGUUAGAGAAAUUAUGCCCCACGUGAAUCCAGACUUCAAUCAGAAGCCUCGGGAAAAACUGAACUGUGAUACCAAGCUUUACUCAGUAAAUACCAUUACCUUUGUACCUCACCAGAUAGGUAAAAACCCAACCCAAACCACCUGCUUUCAAGUUUCAGUAUUUUCAUAUUUCAUUUAGUGGUCAUGAGGCUCUGAGUGAAAUACAGACAAGUCUAAACAAGUCUGUUCCCCUGCCCUUUCCUGAGUUCUGAGUAUGUCAGUGUUGAUUAAAUCACCGGCCAAACUUCUUCUGUGACUGACACUUUUAUCUACUGACUAAAAUUGCAGUAUUCCCCUUGGAGACUGUGAUGGCAGAGAAGGUAAGUUGGGCGGUGUUUCUAAACCUGCUGCUGUGGGAUUCUAGAGCCAGCUCUUCUGGAUCACUUCCAGAUCCCUGCUCAUUCUAUUUAGAGUCUGAGGUUGAUGUCUAUUGCCAUUGGCUGUCCUCUGGGACCCAAGAACCCAUCUGGGGUUUGUCUAGCCUCUCAUGCCAACACCAUCUUCCAAACUCCACAGUCAUUUCCAAUCUAACAGCUUGGAAGUUGAUGCAGAGAUGAAGCAGAAGCCAGUUUGGCUUUCUCCCAGUUCUCUAAGCCCCUCUGGGGUUAAUCAGCAACCACCUAUCUUUGUGUCAAUAGCAUAAGCUUCUCUAAACUAGAGCACCUGGUGGAGAUCCACAGGAAGGCUUAAGAUGAAGCAAAUUUUGCAGCAGUUACUUUGACCAUCACUCUGUUAAACUGAACUCAGACUCUCCCUAUAAAAACAGCUUGCUAAACCCAACUGACUAGCCAAAUAGACCUAUUAUGCUAAUAUUUUCCAUGCCCACAUCUCAGCUCCAAAAUCUCCUUAUGCUGUGAAUGUAAGCAUCAUCUCCUCACCCUGUUGAGCAAAAUGGUCUGAGUCGAUCUUGCUGGUAGAAUUCUUUAGUGGCAUCUUCUUAGCUCUUCCCCCACCUUCACAGCCCAUUCUGAUGGUGGUAUACACACUGCUGGAGAAAUCAGACCUUUUUAACUGAUGUUACUGAAAACUUUCCUUGGUAGCUAAACCAAAUGGUAUUUGGUGUUAUAUGUGGUUGCAGGGUAAAGUGUGGGGUGAAGGGCUGUUGAGAGAGGUAAAAUAGGUGGACAGAGGUCAUAUGAAAGUCACUUCCUUACUAUAUAGUCUCCUUGAGAUGCCAUAACAGAAUACCACAGACUGUAUGUCUUAAGCAACAGAAAUUUAUUUUCUCAUAGCCUUGGCAACUGGAAGUCCAAGAUCCAGGUGCCAGGAGGUUUAGUGUUUACGGACUCUUUCCUCAGAUAGAUGCCUCCUCUCCAUGUCUUCACCCGGCUUUUCCUCUGUGCAUGAAAUCCUGGUGUCUCUGCCUCUCCUGAUAAAGAUAACCAGUCCUGUUAGGUUUGGCCCUCCUAGGCCAGGUAUGGUAAUAAGGAGUAGUGUAGACUGACACAUUGGAGAAAACAUGUCCUAUAAAUAGGAAGCAGUUGCUGAUUAAGACUCCCUGUUUGACCAAACCUGAGUCAGGAUCCUUUUUCCAACUAGGUCUCAACCUUGGGCUCUGUCCUUGGCCAACUUAAUCCAGUUUUAGCAAGAAUCUUGCUGAAUCCAUUUAUUGAAAUUCCUCAUCCUUGGUAUUUGAUUACCCUCAGUGUUUGGUCAAAUUCCUCAUACCCCACCCUCAACCUCUUACCACACUCACCUGCCUUCAGUAAGAAUCCUUUCAAGCCCAUGGAGGGAAGAUCUCCUAGCCUGGAUUUUUCCUCUCAGUAAUUUUUCAUCUACUAACCCCCACCUGCUCCUUGGCUAUAAAUUCCUACUCUUCCUUUUGUAUUCAGAGUUGAGCCCAGUCUCUGUUCGACAUUGCAAAACCCCAUCACAGUAUCCCUUCCUAAAUAAAGUCUUACUUAACAUCUUAAUAGGUGUCAUGAAAAAUAUUUCUUUAACAGCACUCAGCUCCCUACCAGUUGAGUGAAUGCUGGUCCAAAGUUUUCAGAAUUUCUGAAUUUUCAAGGGAAGCCAGAAAUCUGGAUUUUUUAGAUGAAAUCUUUCUUUAAAUAAAUCUUGAAAUUCAAAAGUUAUAAAAUAACAUGCCAGCCAAAAAUCACACUUAAUAGUCUGAAUGCACCCUGGAGGCUUCUAUGUUUCCUUUUGGGGGAUACUAGCAAAACGUGUCAUGUCAUCACGUGAGGAUGUAGGUAUUUGAGUUUAGGCUCAUGAGUAGGCCGCCUGGUUCAUAUUCCAGUCCAGCACUGACUACUGUUGUAACUAUGGGCAUGUAACUCAGAGUUAAGAAUGAAAUUAGUUAACACAGAACAAUGCCUGCUGCCUGGUGAGAAAGCACUAACUGUGAACUAGAGGUUUUAGCUAGUAUCACUAACCUCUAGGCUUCCUCAUUUGUAACAUGGGGGGUCAGUGCUUACCUUUCUUGUCCCCCAAGGAAUUGUUGGAAAGGCAAAAGAAGAAAAUGUGUGAAUGAGCUUGGGAAAAGUGUGCACGUUGCUAAGAAAUAUACCAGUCAUUACUUUGGUUUCUCUUCCUAUAAGUGAGGAAUAGCCUUCUCCAAUGCAGGAAUGAGAAUCCCUAAUUAGAAUAAAUUAUGCUCCAUGUAUAUAUAGUAUGUCUAAACAUACUCUGCUGUCAUGUAUAUCUCAAAAGAACAAAUAAAAAAUCAAUAAAUAAUGACUAAGGAGGGAGGGAAAGAGAGAGAGAGAGAGAGAGAGAGAGAGAGAGAAUGAGAAUGAAUGAAUGAAUAUCAUCCCUGGGAAGAGGAAGACAGUAGGGAGUAGGAUUGGUCCUUUUUUCUUCCUAGGGUCAUGUGCAAAAUUUGCUAUUCUUAGAAUUUGGGGAGGAUUUUUUUUUUGUUUUUGUUUGUUUUGUUUUGUUUGGUACCAGGGAUUGAAGCCAGGGGCGCUUAACCACUGAGCCACAUCCUCAGCCCUUUUUUGUAUUUUAUUUAGACACAGGGUCUUGCUGAGUUGCUAGGGCCUCAAUGAAUUGCUGAGGUGGCUUUGAACUUGCAAUCUUCCUGUCUCAGCCUCCUGAGUCGCUGGGAUCUUAGGCAUGUGCCACCACUCUCAGCUUUUGUUUUUUAAUGAAAAAUUUAAACAUUCAGAAAAGUAGAGAAAAAUACUAUAAUAAACAUUAAAAUACCCUUAUCUGGAUUUAAUAAUUACAUAUUUGCUAUAUAUGCUUCAUCUGGUGAAUUUUUCUGGCCGAUAUGUGGGGUGGCAAGUGGCAGAGAUGUGGUAAGGAAGUGAGGUGAGUGGGCCAUAAUGAUGUCGAAGGGAAACCUGGGAGCUUUAAAUAUCUCAGCUUUAAAUACUGCUUAUUUUUUAGAGGAGAUAGCCAGUCAGGUGUGGAUGGGUUAUUUUGUUUUAGUUUGAAGGAUAGCCCUGAGGAGUAAGGUUUUAUUGCAGGAGUUUGUUAUAGAUAAUACAUUGUUACCACCUUAAAGAAAAUGGCAUAAGUGAUUUUAUUAUUUUAAAUUUUUAAUUUAGUGCUAUUUUAAGGUUUUAAUUGUUUUAAAGAGAAUGUAUUCAUGUAUUGCUCAUGUGAUGAAAAUUGAAAAUUGCCAGAGAGACUUUGGAUAUGGAAAUGUCUGUUAUAAAGAACUCUACUUGAAACUGUACUGGACCUGUGACAAGCUGGUGAAAUCACAGUGAUUAAAAAGACAGGAAAAUGAAGUUUCAGGAGCAAAAAUUGUCUGAUUCAAAGAAACUGUAUGCUGAUUCCAAAGGGUUCCCUGCUUGUAAACUUUUUAAAAAAGAUUCUCUAAACCUAUUUCCUCAUUUUUCAUUAUCAACAAUUACUGGAUUUAAAUGCUAACACUUCUCUCUGGAAAGGAUGUCUUACAAGGGUGAAAGCAACUCAACUUGGCUCUAAAAUUCUAUUAUUCAGAACUCCUCAUUAAUUUAAACUGACAUUCCUUCUCAAUUGGAGCAAAUCAUCAAAGCGGUAUUGUAUUGAGAACAUUGAAUUCAGCAAUAAAGAGUGGGGGAUAUGGAGGAAAAGGGUGG
rnacentral:lncRNA from 1 species